rnacentral:rRNA from 1 species
CCUACGGGAGGCAGCAGUGAGGAAUAUUGGUCAAUGGACGAGAGUCUGAACCAGCCAAGUAGCGUGAAGGAUGACUGCCCUAUGGGUUGUAAACUUCUUUUAUAAAGGAAUAAAACGAGGCACGUGUGCCUUUUUGCAUGUACUUUAUGAAUAAGGAUCGGCUAACUCCGUACCAGCAGCCGCGGUAAUACGGAGGAUCCGAGCGUUAUCCGGAUUUAUUGGGUUUAAAGGGAGCGUAGAUGGGUUGUUAAGUCAGUUGUGAAAGUUUGCGGCUCAACCGUAAAAUUGCAAUUGAUACUGGCAGUCGUGAGUACAGUUGAGGUAGGCGGAAUUCGUGGUGUAGCGGUGAAAUGCUUAGAUAUCACGAAGAACCCCGAUUGCGAAGGCAGCUUACUAAACUGUGACUAACAUUGAUGCUCGAAAGUGUGGGUAUCAAACAGGAUUAGAUACCCCUGUAGUC